rnacentral:rRNA from 1 species
GACGAACGCUGGCGGCGUGCUUAACACAUGCAAGUCGAACGGAAAGGCCCUGCUUUUGUGGGGUGCUCGAGUGGCGAACGGGUGAGUAACACGUGAGUAACCUGCCCUUGACUUUGGGAUAACUUCAGGAAACUGGGGCUAAUACCGGAUAGGAGCUCCUGCUGCAUGGUGGGGGUUGGAAAGUUUCGGCGGUUGGGGAUGGACUCGCGGCUUAUCAGCUUGUUGGUGGGGUAGUGGCUUACCAAGGCUUUGACGGGUAGCCGGCCUGAGCGGGUGACCGGCCACAUUGGGACUGGGAUACGGCCCAGACUCCUACGGGAGGCAGCAGUGGGGAAUAGUGCACAAUGGGCGGAAGCCUGAUGCAGCAACGCCGCGUGCGGGAUGACGGCCUUCGGGUUGUAAACCGCUUUCGCCUGUGACGAAGCGUGAGUGACGGUAAUGGGUAAAGAAGCACCGGCUAACUACGUG